rnacentral:rRNA from 1 species
CGAAUGAAGAGGAGCUUGCUCCUCUGAUUUAGCGGCGGACGGGUGAGUAACACGUGGGUAAUCUGCCUGUAAGACGGGGAUAACUCCGGGAAACCGGGGCUAAUACCGGAUAAUAAGAAGAAACGCAUGUUUCUUUUUUGAAAGUCGGUUUCGGCUGACACUUACAGAUGAGCCCGCGGCGCAUUAGCUAGUUGGUGAGGUAACGGCUCACCAAGGCGACGAUGCGUAGCCGACCUGAGAGGGUGAUCGGCCACACUGGGACUGAGACACGGCCCAGACUCCUACGGGAGGCAGCAGUAGGGAAUCUUCGGCAAUGGGCGAAAGCCUGACCGAGCAACGCCGCGUGAGCGAUGAAGGCCUUCGGGUCGUAAAGCUCUGUUGUUAGAGAAGAACAAGUACGAGAGUAACUGCUCGUACCUUGACGGUACCUAACCAGAAAGCCACGGCUAACUACGUGCCAGCAGCCGCGGUAAUACGUAGGUGGCAAGCGUUAUCCGGAAUUAUUGGGCGUAAAGCGCGCGCAGGCGGUCUCUUAAGUCUGAUGUGAAAGCCCACGGCUCAACCGUGGAGGGUCAUUGGAAACUGGGAGACUUGAGUGCAGGAGAGAAAAGUGGAAUUCCACGUGUAGCGGUGAAAUGCG